CUGCGCCCGUGAAGGAUGAAGCAUACUUCUUAGUAGUAUUUUGCGGGCAAUCAGAGUAUGUUCAGUCCGGUGGCAAUAAGCAUGGCUUUAUUGCUUCAAAGCCUUUU
ncrna:unclassified sequences RT-5 RNA